rnacentral:pre_miRNA from 1 species
UUAGUAUUAUAAGUAUGUUCCAUUCAUUAUUUGGGAUAUACUCAUAUCAAAA